GAUGAAGAACGUAGCGAAAUGCGAUACGUAAUGUGAAUUGCAAAUUCAGUGAAUCAUCGAGUCUUUGAACGCACAUUGCGCCCCUGGUAUUCCGGGGGGCAUGCCUGUCCGAGCGUCAUUGCUGCCCUCAAGCACGGCUUGUGUGUUGGGCCCCGUCCUCCGAUCCCGGGGGACGGGCCCGAAAGGCAGCGGCGGCACCGCGUCCGGUCCUCGAGCGUAUGGGGCUUUGUCACCCGCUCUGUAGGCCCGGCCGGCGCUUGCCGAUCAACCCAAAUUUUUAUCCAGGUUGACCUCGGAUCAGGUAGGGAUACCCGCUGAACUUAAGCAUAUCAAUAAGCGGAGGA
rnacentral:misc_RNA from 1 species